AGGAGUGGCGAACGGGUGAGUAACACGUGGGUAACCUGCCCAUCAGAAGGGGAUAACACUUGGAAACAGGUGCUAAUACCGUAUAACAGUAGAAACCGCAUGGUUUCUAUUUGAAAGGCGCUUUUGCGUCACUGAUGGAUGGACCCGCGGUGCAUUAGCUAGUUGGUGAGGUAACGGCUCACCAAGGCAACGAUGCAUAGCCGACCUGAGAGGGUGAUCGGCCACAUUGGGACUGAGACACGGCCCAAACUCCUACGGGAGGCAGCAGUAGGGAAUCUUCGGCAAUGGACGAAAGUCUGACCGAGCAACGCCGCGUGAGUGAAGAAGGUUUUCGGAUCGUAAAACUCUGUUGUUAGAGAAGAACAAGGAUGAGAGUAAAACGUUCAUCCCUUGACGGUAUCUAACCAGAAAGCCACGGCUAACUACGUGCCAGCAGCCGCGGUAAUACGUAGGUGGCAAGCGUUGUCCGGAUUUAUUGGGCGUAAAGCGAGCGCAGGCGGUUUCUUAAGUCUGAUGUGAAAGCCCCCGGCUCAACCGGGGAGGGUCAUUGGAAACUGGGAAACUUGAGUGCAGAAGAGGAGAGUGGAAUUCCAUGUGUAGCGGUGAAAUGCGUAGAUAUAUGGAGGAACACCAGUGGCGAAGGCGGCUCUCUGGUCUGUAACUGACGCUGAGGCUCGAAAGCGUGGGGAGCAAACAGGAUUAGAUACCCUGGUAGUCCACGCCGUAAACGAUGAGUGCUAAGUGUUGGAGGGUUUCCGCCCUUCAGUGCUGCAGCUAACGCAUUAAGCACUCCGCCUGGGGAGUACGACCGCAAGGUUGAAACUCAAAGGAAUUGACGGGGGCCCGCACAAGCGGUGGAGCAUGUGGUUUAAUUCGAAGCAACGCGAAGAACCUUACCAGGUCUUGACAUCCUUUGACCACUCUAGAGAUAGAGCUUCCCCUUCGGGGGCAAAGUGACAGGUGGUGCAUGGUUGUCGUCAGCUCGUGUCGUGAGAUGUUGGGUUAAGUCCCGCAACGAGCGCAACCCUUAUUGUUAGUUGCCAUCAUUUAGUUGGGCACUCUAGCGAGACUGCCGGUGACAAACCGGAGGAAGGUGGGGAUGACGUCAAAUCAUCAUGCCCCUUAUGACCUGGGCUACACACGUGCUACAAUGGGAAGUACAACGAGUCGCGAAGUCGCGAGGCUAAGCUAAUCUCUUAAAGCUUCUCUCAGUUCGGAUUGUAGGCUGCAACUCGCCUACAUGAAGCCGGAAUCGCUAGUAAU
rnacentral:rRNA from 1 species